GCAGGGCUGGUUUGGAGCGUGGCUGGUUCCCCUGAGAUGUGCCAGACGCCAUCAGGGCACUGGAGGGGACCCCGGGUGGAAGCUUGUAGGCUCCUGAAUGGGUGUAGAGGAGGGAGAGGGAGCUGGCAUUCACUGCCUCUCACCACGCAAAGUAGGAGGCGGCCCACGACUGUCAGGCAACCGGCUUAAAAUAAACGCACAUGCUGCUUUUUAUACACCCUGCGUCAGGGGCAGGCGGGACUCGCUGGCACGGGCCAGGAGGGCUCCCCAGGGAGGAGGCCAGUUUGUGGAGGUCAGGUCCAUCAGGGCAAGAGUCCAACUUGGGGCAUUGCCUCAGGAUCUGACAGCUAGCAACUGGAGAGGUCUGAUGGGUGCCACUCUACAUGUACCCUCUUUUUUCUGCUCAGCCUUAGUUGAAAGCUACUUCCUACCAUUGGAGACAGGGCAAGAUGGACCCUGGGUUUGACCCAACCGGGUGUCAUAAUAGGUGUCCUAAUCGCGUCAUACACGACCCAGCAGUUCCCAAUUUGCGGUACACGUACCAUCAGUAGUAUGCUGACAACCUAUCAAUAGUAUGCGUUAACAGAUUUAUUAUCAAAAUCUGGUUUAAUAAUUGUUUUCCAACUAUUUAAGUUGGUCUAAUAAAAUAUAUCAGAUUCACCCAAAGAACCUUGUCUGCCUAUGAUGUCCCUCUGCUUUUAUCUACCUCUUGUUCAGGAGAUGAAUUUGCUGGACCCAGUCAUCUGAGCAGAUGCUACCGCAUGCUCCACAGAGCUUCCUUUGCCAGUGUCAGCUUCAAUGGUAAACAGGAAGCUAACUGUACUCCAGUCACUCCCCUCAGAAGAAGGGGUUCUGUGAAGAUGCCGACAGCUACUCUGAAAGGCAGAUCUAGGGAAGUGACAUAAUACAGAUCAAGCCUAACUCAGACAUUUUGAAGGUCUCAGGUAUCCAAGAACAUAACCAAAAGGGGCAUCCCUCAGCCUGACAAGAAGUGUCACGCAUGGAAAAGUUGAAGGAGUUCAGGUUCAGUACAGUCAAGUCAGCACAGCACAGUUAAAGGAGAGUCAGGAGAGUUACAAUGCAAGGGGAAAAACAUGCAUUUUCUGUGUGUGUACAUAAAUGACUGGACCUCCUACUGCUGCUUCAUUUCACUGUGCACUGAUUAUACCUCCUUUACUAUUAGCCAAAAUGCAGAUAACUGCUACAUCAGUCACCCAACUUUACUCUCCACCUUGCUUUCAACCCCAACAAGGCACCAGUGCCCUUGGCUUUCACAGUCUGUGAAUGCUUUUAUGAUUCACGACAAAAAUGUGUAUAAGGGUCACUCAGAGUUGUAGUGGAGAGUUUGUUUGUACAUCAAAGCCGGUGCAGAUCUGUGGGAAGGCAGUUCUCUGACCAUUAGGAAAUUCAUUAUUUUUUAAGCUCUUGCAUGUCAUACCACUGUAUAUGCACUCAGCAACAGUCCUGUUUGUCUACACCUGGGCAGAGACAGUGACAUACGUUCUUAUAGCCUUACAGUCUUGAGACUGCAAUUAUUGAAAUGACUCAGUCAUCUCAGGUACAGUGGCAGCUUUGAUCAAGCAACCUUGAGAGCACCAACCAGGGACUUUCUGACUAAACUGUUGCCGGUUGUCCAUUAAUUCUCUGGAGGAACUAGCUUCUGUGGUGAAAUCUCCACUUUUUCAUAGGAAACGGAAAUUCUUGCCCUCAGGGUUUUGUUAGCAAUGGUGAAAUGAGUGUAACAAAGAGGUAGAAAUAAGUCUUUUUCUUCAUUUUCUUCCUCAUGUUAAACAGCCACUGUUCUCUUUCCAGAUUUGGAAGUACUUCUCUCCCUCCACUCCGAUUCAGACCCAACAGCAGCACUGUACCUACAGUGAACAUCUUUGAUACUUUCCAUACAGAGAGAGCUAUUUAUCUGUGCAUGAGAGAGAGUGAGUGGAAGAGAGAGAAUUUCAGAAAGAAGUUUGCUGCUGGCUCUUCCCAGGUAAAUUUAUCCCCUAAGGUCAGCUCAUCAAAGAAAGAUUUUAAGGUGACAGCAUCCUCCCUUUCGGGUACCCAGUCCUUCAAAAUGACACAAACAGAGCACUCAAAAACUUGAGGCCCCCAAAAUGAUUAUUUGCUUUUGAAAAUAUUUGGGUGUACAUGUCUAUGUUUUUCUGAGUAGCCAUGAGCACAGUAUGCUGCACUGCGAUUUGUUAGAAACUACAGAUCAGCUUUAAACAGAAAAAGCUUUGAAAUGUUUUACCUUUCAAUGUAAAAAUAUACCUGCAAACAAUUUAAAGUUAUAAAUCAGGGCAUUUGGAAAUAAAAAUAGGUAAGAUUUCCAACUCUA